CUGUCCGUUGCUGGCUUCACAAGUACUAGUAUAAUUUUUAAAAUGUUUUAUUAUUUUGAAAAUAAUGUUGUAAUUCAUGCCAGGGACUGACAAAAGACUUGAGACAGGAUGGUUAUUCUUGUCAGCUAAGGUCACAUUG
rnacentral:snoRNA from 1 species